GACGAACGCUGGCGGCGUGCCUAAUACAUGCAAGUUGAGCGCUGAAGGUUGGUACUUGUACCAACUGGAUGAGCAGCGCACGGGUGAGUAACGCGUGGGGAAUCUGCCUUUGAGCGGGGGACAACAUUUGGAAACGAAUGCUAAUACCGCAUAAAAACUUUAAACACAAGUUUUAAGUUUGAAAGAUGCAAUUGCAUCACUCAAAGAUGAUCCCGCGUUGUAUUAGCUAGUUGGUGAGGUAAAGGCUCACCAAGGCGAUGAUACAUAGCCGACCUGAGAGGGUGAUCGGCCACAGUGGGACUGAGACACGGCCCAAACUCCUACGGGAGGCAGCAGUAGGGAAUCUUCGGCAAUGGACGAAAGUCUGACCGAGCAACGCCGCGUGAGUGAAGAAGGUUUUCGGAUCGUAAAACUCUGUUGGUAGAGAAGAACGUUGGUGAGAGUGGAAAGAUCAUCAAGUGACGGUAACUACCCAGAAAGGGACGGCUAACUACGUG
rnacentral:rRNA from 1 species